UACAGAGGGUGCAAGCGUUGUUCGGAAUUAUUGGGCGUAAAGCGCGUGUAGGCGGCUUGUUAAGUCGGGUGUGAAAGCCCUCAGCUCAACUGAGGAAGUGCGCCCGAAACUGGCGAGCUUGAGUGUCGGAGAGGAUGGCGGAAUACCCCAAGUAGAGGUGAAAUUCGUAGAUAUGGGGUGGAACACCGGUGGCGAAGGCGGCCAUCUGGACGACAACUGACGCUGAGACGCGAAAAGCGUGGGGAGCAAACAGG
rnacentral:rRNA from 1 species